rnacentral:rRNA from 1 species
CUACGGGCCGCUGCAGUCGAGAAUCUUCCGCAAUGGGCGCAAGCCUGACGGAGCAAUGCCGCGUGAGGGAUGACGGCCCUAGGGUUGUAAACCUCUGUCAGAAGGGACGAAGAACGUGACGGUACCUUCAGAGGAAGCCAUGGCUAACUACGUGCCAGCAGCCGCGGUAAUACGUAGAUGGCGAGCGUUAUUCGGAUUUACUGGGCGUGAAAGGGUCCGGAGGGGGUCUGCCAAGUCUGAUGUGAAAUCCUGCGGCUCAACCGCGGAACUGCAUUGGAAACUGGCGGACUAGAGUGUGCGAGGGGUGAGCGGAAUUCCUGGUGUAGCGGUGGAAUGCGUAGAUAUCAGGAAGAACACCGAUGGCGAAGGCGGCUCACUGGCGCAUCACUGACCCUGAGGGACGAAAGCGUGGGUAGCAAACAGGAUUAGAUACCCGAGUAGUC